AGCUCGUGGCACCUCCAACUUGACCAAAUGAUAGAGAGCUCGUGCACAUUUAGAGGUGCUCGUAAGUACUAGAUCUUCAAAAAAUAUAUUUAAAAAUUUUUAUCUAUUUUAGAAUCAAUAUUUAUUAUUCCAAAUCAAUUUUACAGGAUAUUUAGAGAGCUUGAGAUGUCACAUGUGGUUAGCGAGAUUAUUCAAUGAUUGAUGCUGGGAUCGAUGAAUGAAUUCUCCA
rnacentral:lncRNA from 1 species